rnacentral:rRNA from 1 species
GACGAACGCUGGCGGCGUGCUUAACACAUGCAAGUCGAACGGAAAGGCCCUGCUUUUGUGGGGUGCUCGAGUGGCGAACGGGUGAGUAACACGUGAGUAACCUGCCCUUGACUUUGGGAUAACUUCAGGAAACUGGGGCUAAUACCGGAUAGGAGCUCCUGCUGCAUGGUGGGGGUUGGAAAGUUUCGGCGGUUGGGGAUGGACUCGCGGCUUAUCAGCUUGUUGGUGGGGUAGUGGCUUACCAAGGCUUUGACGGGUAGCCGGCCUGAGAGGGUGACCGGCCACAUUGGGACUGAGAUGCGGCCCAGACUACUACGGGAGGCAGCAGUGGGGAAUAUUGCACAAUGGGCGGAAGCCUGAUGCAGCAACGCCGCGUGCGGGAUGACGGCCUUCGGGUUGUAAACCGCUUUCGCCUGUGACGAAGCGUGAGUGACGGUAAUGGGUAAAGAAGCACCGGCUAACUACGUG